rnacentral:rRNA from 1 species
AACGAACGCUGGCGGCAUGCCUAACACAUGCAAGUCGAACGAGACCUUCGGGUCUAGUGGCGCACGGGUGCGUAACGCGUGGGAACCUGCCCUUAGGUUUGGAAUAACUCCCCGAAAGGGGUGCUAAUACCGGAUAAUGUCUUCGGACCAAAGAUUUAUCGCCUUUGGAUGGGCCCGCGUUGGAUUAGCUAGUUGGUAGGGUAAAAGCCUACCAAGGCGACGAUCCAUAGCUGGUCUGAGAGGAUGAUCAGCCACACUGGGACUGAGACACGGCCCAGACUCCUACGGGAGGCAGCAGUGGGGAAUAUUGUACAAUGGGCGAAAGCCUGAUCCAGCAAUGCCGCGUGAGUGAUGAAGGCCUUAGGGUUGUAAAGCUCUUUUACCCGGGAUGAUAAUGACAGUACCGGGAGAAUAAGCUCCGGCUAACUCCGUG